CUAUAGCUCAGUAGGUAGAGCAACUGAUUCGUAAUCAGUAGGUCACAGGUUCGACUCCUGCUGGG
rnacentral:tRNA from 1 species